ensembl:snRNA U4 U4 spliceosomal RNA
AGCUUUGCGCAGAGGCAGUAUCGUAGCCAAUGAGGUUUAUCCGAGGCGCGAUUGUGGCUCAUCGGGAUAGUGUCCAGAAAGUUCUAGACGCUCAGUAGAUGUCCGUUGAAUGAAUGAAUCAAUGAAUGCAAU